UUUUGGUCAAAGUUGGUAGAAACUAGAUGUUUGUAGCCAAAGUUGGUGUUUUUGGUCAAAGUUGGUAGAAACUAGAUGUUUGUAGCCAAAGUUGAUGGUUUUGGUCAAAGUUGGUAGAAACAAGAUGUAUGUAGCCAAAGUUGGUGUUUUUGGUCAAAGUUGGUAGAAACUAGAUGUUUGUAGCCAAAGUUGGUGUUUUUGGUCAAAGUUGGUAGAAACUAGAUGUUUGUAGCCAAAGUUGGUGUUUUUGGUCAAAGUUAGUAGAAAAUGGAUGUUUGUAGCCAAAGUUGGUGUUUUUGGUCAAAGUUGGUAGAAACUAGAUGUUUGUAGCCAAAGUUGGUGUUUUUGGUCAAAGUUAGUAGAAAAUGGAUGUUUGUAGCCAAAGUUGGUGUUUUUGGUCAAAGUUGGUAGAAACUAGAUGUUUGUAGCCAAAGUUGGUGUUUUUGGUCAAAGUUGGUAGAAAAUGGAUGUUUGUAGCCAAAGUUGGUGUUUUUGGUCAAAGUUGGUAGAAACUAGAUGUUUGUAGCCAAAGUUGGUGUUUUUGGUCAAAGCUGGUAGAAACUAGAUGUUGGUAGCCAAAGUUGGUGUUUUUGGUCAAAGUUGGUAGAAACUAGAUGUUUGUAGCCAAAGUUGGUGUUUUUGGUCAAAGUUGGUAGAAACUAGAUGUUUGUAGCCAAAGUUGGUGUUUUUGGUCAAAGUUGGUAGCCUAAGUUGGUGUUUUUGGUCAAAGUUGGUAGAAAAUGGAUGUGUGUAGCCAAAGUUGGUGUUUUUGGUCAAAGUUGGUAGAAACAAGAUGUUUGUUGCCAAAGUUGGUGUUUUUGGUCAAAGUUGGUAGAAACAAGAUGUAUGUAGCCAAAGUUGGUGUUUUUGGUCAAAGUUGGUAGAAACUAGAUGUUUGUAGCCAAAGUUGGUGUUUUUGGUCAAAGUUGGUAGAAACUAAAUGUUUGUAGCCAAUGUUGGUGUUUUUGGUCAAAGUUGGUAGAAACUAGAUGUUUGUAGCCAAAGUUGGUGUUUUUGGUCAAAGUUAGUAGAAAAUGGAUGUUUGUAGCCAAAUUUGGUGUUUUUGGUCAAAGUUGGUAGAAACUAGAUGUUUGUAGCCAAAGUUGGUGUUUUUGGUCAAAGUUGGUAGAAAAUGGAUGUUUGUAGCCAAAGUUGGUGUUUUUGGUCAAAGUUGGUAGAAACAAGAUGUUUGUAGCCAAAGUUGGUGUUGUUGGUCAAAGUUAGUAGAAAAUGGAUGUUUGUAGCCAAAGUUGGUGUUUUUGGUCAAAGUUGGUUGAAACUAGAUGUUUGUAGCCAAAGUUGGUGUUUUUGGUCAAAGUUGGUAGUAACUAGAUGUUUGUAGCCAAAGUUGGUGUUUUUGGUCAAAGUUGGUAGAAACAAGAUGUUUGUAGCCAAAGUUGGUGUUGUUGGUCAAAGUUAGUAGAAAAUGGAUGUUUGUAGCCAAAGUUGGUGUUUUUGGUCAAAGUUGGUAGAAACUAGAUGUAUGUAGCCAAAGUUGGUGUUUUUGGUCAAAGUUGGUAGAAAAUGGAUGUUUGUAGCCAAAGUUGGUGUUUUUGGUCAAAGUUGGUAGAAACUAGAUGUUUGUAGCCAAAGUUGGUGUUUUUGGUCAAAGUUGGUAGAAACUAGAUGUUUGUAGCCAAAGUUGGUGUUUUUGGUCAAAGUUAGUAGAAAAUGGAUGUUUGUAGCCAAAGUUGGUGUUUUUGGUCAAAGUUGGUAGAAACUAGAUGUUUGUAGCCAAAGUUGCUGUUUUUGGUCAAAGUUGGUAGAAACUAGAUGUUUGUAGCCAAAGUUGGUGUUUUUGGUCAAAGUUGGUAGAAACUAGAUGUUUGUAGCCAAAGUUGGUGUUGUUGGUCAAAGUUAGUAGAAAAUGGAUGUUUGUAGCCAAAGUUGGUGUUUUUGGUCAAAGUUGGUUGAAACUAGAUGUUUGUAGCCAAAGUUGGUGUUUUUGGUCAAAGUUGGUAGAAACUAGAUGUUUGUAGCCAAAGUUGGUGUUUUUGGUCAAAGUUGGUAGCCAAAGUUGGUGUUUUUGGUCAAAGUUGGUAGAAACUAGAUGUAUGUAGCCAAAGUUGGUGUUUUUGGUCAAAAUUGGUAGAAAAUGGAUGUUUGUAGCCAAAGUUGGUGUGUUUGGUCAAAGUUGGUAGAAACUAGAUGUUUGUAGCCUAAGUUGGUGUUUUUGGUCAAAGUUGGUAGAAAAUGGAUGUUUGUAGCCAAAGUUGGUGUUUUUGGUCAAAGUUGGUAGAAACUAGAUGUUUGUAGCCAAAGUUGGUGUUUUUGGUCAAAGUUGGUAGAAACUAGAUGUUUGUAGCCAAAGUUGGUGUUUUUGGUCAAAGUUAGUAGAAACUAGAUGUUUGUAGCCAAAGUUGGUGUUUUUGGUCAAAGUUGGUAGAAACAAGAUGUUUGUAGCCGAAGUUGGUGUUUUUGGUCAAAGUUGGUAGAAACUAGAUGUUUGUAGCCAAAGUUGGUGUUUUUGGUCAAAGUUGGUAGAAACUAGAUGUUUGUAGCCAAAGUUGGUGUUUUUGGUCAAAGUUGGUAGAAACUAGAUGUUUGUAGCCAAAGUUGGUGUUUUUGGUCAAAGUUGGUAGAAACUAGAUGUUUGUAGCCAAAGUUGGGUGUUUUUGGUCAAAGUUGGUAGAAACUAGAUGUUUGUAGCCAACGUUGGUGUUUUGGUCAAAGUUGGUAGAAACUAGAUGUUUGUAGCCAAAGUUGGUGUUUUUGGUCAAAGUUGGUAGAAACUAGAUGUUUGUAGCCAAAGUUGUGUUUUUGGUCAAAGUUGGUAGAAACUAGAUGUUUGUAGCCAAAGUUGGUGUUUUUGGUCAAAGUUGGUAGAAACUAGAUGUUUGUAGCCAAUGUUGGUGUUUUUGGUCAAAGUUGGUAGAAACUAGAUGUUUGUAGCCAAAGUUGGUGUUUUUGGUCAAAGUUGGUAGAAAAUGGAUGUUUGUAGCCAAAGUUGGUGUUUUUGGUCAAAGUUGGUAAAAAAUGGAUGUUUGUACCCAAAGUUGGUGUUUUUGGUCAAAGUUGGUGGAAACAAGAUGUUUGUAGCCAAAGUUGGUGUUUUUGGUCAAAGUUGGUAGAAACAAGAUGUUUGUAGCCAAAGUUGGUGUUUUUGGUCAAAGUUGGUAGAAACAAGAUGUUUGUAGCCGAAGUUGGUGUUUUUGGUCAAAGUUGGUAGAAACUAGAUGUUUGUAGCCAAAGUUGGUGUUUUUGGUCAAAGUUGGUAGAAACUAGAUGUUUGUAGCCAAAGUUGGUGUUUUUGGGUCAAAGUUGGUAGAAACUAGAUGUUUGUAGCCAACGUUGGUGUUUUUGGUCAAAGUUGGUAGAAACUAGAUGUUUGUAGCCAAAGUUGGUGUUUUUGGUCAAAGUUGGUAGAAACUAGAUGUUUGUAGCCAAAGUUGGUGUUUUUGGUCAAAGUU